rnacentral:rRNA from 1 species
UACGUAGGUGACAAGCGUUGUCCGGAUUUACUGGGCGUAAAGAGCGCGCAGGCGGUCGAUCAAGUCGAGUGUGAAAGCCCCAGGCUCAACUGGGGAGGGUCAUUCGAUACUGAUCGACUCGAAGGCAGGAGAGGGUAGUGGAAUUCCCGGUGUAGUGGUGAAAUGCGUAGAUAUCGGGAGGAACACCAGUGGCGAAGGCGACUACCUGGCCUGUUCUUGACGCCGAGGCGCGAAAGCUAGGGGAGCAAACGGG